rnacentral:lncRNA from 1 species
AACCCGAAUAGGAGUUAAGCAGGUUCUCCCAGGUCGUGUGUCCGACGCUAAGGAUCAUCGGCCUAUUUUUAGCGCCAACACAAUCAUGUUGAGCCCCCAGCAUGCGAAAGGCCAUGUUGGAGGUAUGAUGAUGAGUUUGUAGGCAGGGACAUGUUGUUGCUUGGCAAAAAACUGGUAGCCUUGACAUCUGCGGACUAGUUCCGCUACAUCUGCCAGCACAGUUGGCCAAUAA